rnacentral:lncRNA from 1 species
AACUUACCUUGGGGAGUGCUACACAAAGAAGAGGGUGCCCGGGAAGAUAAAAAAAGGAAAGGUUGUGCUUGUAGAGUGUAGAAAUUUGAAAGUUAUAAGUAGAGAUGACAACUAGUUGAGUCGGACACAAAUAGUGCCUACCCAUUACUCGACCUACGACAAAAUUUUUUUUCUGCUACCUGUGUAGAUACCUAUUUAAAAGACACUUGCUGAUAUUUUAAAACAUGUAUAAAAUUUUAAAAUAAAAUUUAAAUAAAUAACAUAAAAAUAUGUAAAAUGUAUAAAAUAUAAUACAAAUUAAAUUAAAAAUAAAUAAAAAUUUAAUUUAAUUAAAUUUAAAAUGAUAAAAU